CCUACGGGUGGCAGCAGUCGAGAAUCAUUCACAAUGGGGGAAACCCUGAUGGUGCGACGCCGCGUGGGGGAAUGAAGGUCUUCGGAUUGUAAACCCCUGUCAUGUGGGAGCAAAUUAAAAAGAUAGUACCACAAGAGGAAGAGACGGCUAACUCUGUACCAGCAGCCGCGGUAAUACAGAGGUCUCAAGCGUUGUUCGGAAUCACUGGGCGUAAAGCGUGCGUAGGCUGUUUCGUAAGUCGUGUGUGAAAGGCGCGGGCUCGACCCGCGGACGGCACAUGAUACUGCGAGACUAGAGUAAGGGAGGGGGAACCGGAAUUCUCGGUGUAGCAGUGAAAUGCGUAGAUAUCGAGAGGAACACUCGUGGCGAAGGCGGGUUCCUGGACAUUAACUGACGCUGAGGCACGAAGGCCAGGGGAGCGAAAGGGAUUAGAUACCCCAGUAGUC
rnacentral:rRNA from 1 species